rnacentral:misc_RNA from 1 species
AAAAAAAAAAAAAAAAGACUAAAUCACUACUUUGAUUAGGCUGAUCAAAAGAUGAAUUAAAGGGCGAUGGUGACAUGGAGUUGUUUUUUGAUUUAUUCAAUGUUUAGCUUUGGAUCUUACAUUAAAAGGGGAAACAAAGAAUUAAGGCCUUGUGAAUUAAUGUGUAAAUUAUAAUUUAAAUGUUGUGUUCAUAUGGAUUGUAAAAUUUAAAAAUAAAAUAAAAUAUCGAUAUUUCAAUUAAUUUUCUCGUAAGCAAAAAAUUUUGAAAAUUCUAAUUCAUUUGGAGAAUUAAGAAAAGUUUGUUAGUUUAUUCUAUAAUUUUAUUUGAAUUGAGCAACUCGCCCCAACAACUGCCUGAUGAGUGAAUUUUUCUCUGAAAUCAAUAAAUAGAGAGAAAUCUCAUUAGAGGGCAAGGCCUAUUUUGCUAGGAUUGUUAAAAUAUUAAAACAACAUAAGCUGAA